rnacentral:rRNA from 1 species
UACGUAGGGUCCGAGCGUUGUCCGGAGUUACUGGGCGUAAAGCGCGCGCAGGCGGCGGUGCUGGCCCGGCGUGAAAGCCCCCGGCUCAACCGGGGAGGGUCGUCGGGGACCGCACCGCUUGAGGGCGGUAGGGGCUGGUGGAAUGCCUGGUGUAGUGGUGAAAUGCGUAGAGAUCAGGCGGAACACCCGUGGCGAAGGCGGCCAGCUGGGCCGUCCCUGACGCUGAGGAGCGAAAGCCAGGGGAGCAAACGGG